rnacentral:rRNA from 1 species
CCUACGGGCGGCAGCAGUGGGGAAUAUUGCACAAUGGGGGGAACCCUGAUGCAGCGAAGCCGCGUGAGUGAAGAAGUAUUUCGGUAUGUAAAGCUCUAUCAGCAGGGAAGAAGAUGACGGUUCCUGACUAAGAAGCCCCGGCUAACUACGUGCCAGCAGCCGCGGUAAUACGUAGAGGGCACGCGUUAUCCGGAUUUACUGGGUGUAACGGGAGCGUAGAGGGCAGGGCAAGUGUGGAGUGAAAGCCCGGGGUCCAACCCCGGGACUGCUUUGGAAACUGCCAUGCUAGAGUGCUGGAGAGGUAAGCGGAAUUCCUGGUGUAGCGGUGAAAUGCGUAGAUAUUAGGAGGAACACCAGUGGCGAAGGCGGCUUACUGGACAGUAACUGACGUUGAGGCUCGAAAGCGUGGGGAGCAAACAGGAUUAGAUACCCCAGUAGUC